rnacentral:tRNA from 1 species
GAGCGGCUAGUCUAACUCAAGACAGUUGAUUUCGGCUCAACUAAUUAUGGUUAAACCCCAUAGCUGCUCU